GUGCCAAAGCCGGCAGGAAGCAGGUCAGGGUGCGGGUCAAUGCCAAAGCCGGCAGGAAGCAGGUCAGGGUGCGGGUCAGUGCCAAAUCCGGCAGGAAGCAGGUCAGGGUGCGGGUCAGUGCCAAAUCUGGUAGGAAGCAGGUCAGGGUGCGGGUCAGUGCCAAAGCCAGCAGGAAGCAGGUCAGGGUGCGGGUCAGUGCCAAAUCUGGUAGGAAGCAGGUCAGGGUGCGGGUCAAUGCCAAAGCCGGCAGGAAGCAGGUCAGGGUGCGGGUCAGUGCCAAAUCUGGUAGGAAGCAGGUCAGGGUGCGGGUCAAUGCCAAAGCCGGCAGGAAGCAGGUCAGGGUGCGGGUCAGUGCCAAAUCUGGUAGGAAGCAGGUCAGGGUGCGGGUCAAUGCCAAAGCCGGCAGGAAGCAGGUCAGGGUGCGGGUCAGUGCCAAAUCUGGUAGG